rnacentral:lncRNA from 13 species
CCCCAGAGAGCCACCAGGAAGGUCUGUUCGUUUUUCUAGUGCGUUCAAACUCUUUGAGCCCCUGAGAAGCAAGAUGUUACAAGACGACAUCUUUCAAGGACGGAAAGGUCUCUCUAAGGUGAGAAUGCAGCCCUAUGAAGGUAGGGAGUUCUGUGCCUUAUUCAUGCAGUCCUCCUACAUGCUAAUCAGAAAUUAGUCUCCUAAGCCAACCCUGUUAUGGGCUGAAUUGUGCCCCUCUGCAAGCUCAUCGUUUGAAGCCCCAACUCACAGUACCUUAGAAUGACCGGAUCUGGAAGGCCUUUAAAGAGGUGAUCAAGUUAAAAUGAGGCCAUUACGGUGGGUGGUUACAGUAAGUCUGCUGUCCUUAUGAAAGGAAGUUUGAACAUGCAAAGAGACACCAGCAAUGCAUAUUCCCAGAAAAACACCUUGUGAGGACACAGCAAGAAGGUAGCUACCUGCAAGCCAAGGAGAGAGACCACAGAAGAAACCAAACCUGCUGACACCUUGAUCUUGGACUUCUAGCCCAUAGAACUGUGAGAAAAUAAAUUUCUGUUGUUUAAGCCA